rnacentral:rRNA from 1 species
UAAAGAAUUUCGGUAUGGGAUGGGGAUGCGUUCCAUUAGUUAGUUGGCGGGGUAACGGCCCACCAAGACAACGAUGGAUAGGGGUUCUGAGAGGAAGGUCCCCCACAUUGGAACUGAGACACGGUCCAAACUCCUACGGGAGGCAGCAGUGAGGAAUAUUGGUCAAUGGACGAGAGUCUGAACCAGCCAAGUAGCGUGAAGGAUGACUGCCCUAUGGGUUGUAAACUUCUUUUAUAUGGGAAUAAAACGUUCCACGUGUGGGAUUUUGUAUGUACCAUAUGAAUAAGGAUCGGCUAACUCCGUGCCAGCAGCCGCGGUAAUACGGAGGAUCCGAGCGUUAUCCGGAUUUAUUGGGUUUAAAGGGAGCGUAGGUGGAUUGUUAAGUCAGUUGUGAAAGUUUGCGGCUCAACCGUAAAAUUGCAGUUGAAACUGGCAGUCUUGAGUACAGUAGAGGUGGGCGGAAUUCGUGGUGUAGCGGUGAAAUGCUUAGAUAUCACGAAGAACUCCGAUUGCGAAGGCAGCUCACUGGACUGCAACUGACACUGAGGCUCGAAAGUGUGGGUAUCAAACAGGAUUAGAUACCCUGGUAGUCCACACAGUAAACGAUGAAUACUCGCUGUUUGCGAUAUACAGUAA